CCUCACUGUGCUCUCAGGCACACUCUGUCCCAGCAUCUCUGGGAUUAAUGCCUCCCCACUCUGAUGGGGCACAGGAAGGCCAUUUGUGCACUGAGGGUGGACCUACAUGUCAAGACACCAAAGUAAUUUAACAGACAUCUUUAAAGAAGAGCCAAACCACUGGAAAUUGUUGAUAGAUAAACCUGAGUGGGAUCUUUCAGUCAAGCACGUGUGCCUAGAUGUGCUUCUGCUUUGCUGCUGGCCGUCGCUGGGGACACAAGUCCACAUAAGACUGCAGGAACCUGGAUGUUUCUGACAGGUGGUGUCCCUUUGAAAGUUACGGGUAGAAAACACUGGCCGCCCUAGUCAGGGGAUCUUCCUCCAGCACUCAGUUCAGGUGGCCCAAAAACAAGUGUAACUUGCAGUUGACUUCAAUGCAGCCUGCUUAUAGUCUGCUGUAAAAGGAUCACCUCUUCCUUCUUCUCACUGAUGGCAUGAAAUGGACACUGGAGCGGUAUCUAGCACAACAGCAUUGUUGCACACUGAAGCUUCCAGAUGCCCUUACAAUUCAGACAUCUCCUCCAUCCCAAGUCUGACAAAAACAUCGUCCCUUGACUACCGAUUGUGAAAUGGACCACGCUUGAAAAGGGCUGGAGGUGGCUCAGGACCUGAAUUAUGCACUGGAGUAUGUAAUAGACAACGGUGCAUGACUCCACAGGUGAGGCUGAGCAACAUGACACUGAAAUGGACCUUGUUCACACUUUGGGCUAUAUGGUGUCUUCCUCCAAAGGGCUUCAGCGCCCUUUCUUUAUAGGGAGGUUUUGUUUCCUAUUGUCUGGUUUGUUUCUGGUUAUUGCCCUGCCCUUUGCUCAGUCACUCUUUGCCACUUCUGUGACAGCUGAGUUAGACCCACCGCUUCAUACCUGGACCAUCCAAAGGCUCAUAUUGCUGCACUUUGUCAGAACCAGCUUUGCAGGCUACCUUAUGGAGAGACCCGUGUUGCUCAGUGGGACUCAGUCAGCCAAAGGAGUUGCAAGUGUAGUUAAUCCUUUUCCUGAAGCCAGCGUUUCUCUUAGCACCAAAGAAGAAAGUAGAAACUCAUGCAGUGAGACUCUUUAGCAGCUCACUGGUGGUGAAUUAUACGCUUGACCAUUCAAAGGUCCCUGUUCCUGAGCCAAUGUCAUCCCUUAUCCAUCCCUGGUAAGUCAACAGAUGUAUCAGAAGUCCAGUCACUGCUUUCUAAGGCACAUGGUUUCUGCAACAUAGGCAGGAAAGAGGCACCUAUCCUCCCUAACAGCAGCCUCAAAGAUGGCACUAUUGUGCUUGCAAA